GUCUGUCUGGAGAUAUAGAAAGUCUGAUCUGCCCACUGAAGGAUAUUUAAGGGCCGCGGUAAUUUGACCGUGCAAAGGUAGCAUAAUCGUUAGUUUUUUAAUUGGAAUCUUGUAUGAAUGAUUGGACAAGGGGAAAACUGUCUCUGUAUUUAUUUUUGAAUUUAACUUUUAAGUGAAAAGGCUUAAAUAAUUUAAAAAGACGAUAAGACCCUAUAAAGCUUAAUAAGUUUGAGUUAUUUAAUUGAAUUAAAAAUAAUAAUUAAUUGGCUUAACGUAUUUUGUUGGGGCGACAAUGGUAAAAUUUUUACUAACUACUAAGGUUUAAGACAAUAAUAUAUGAAUAAAAGAGGUAGAUGAACCUGGAAUAAGAUUAAAAGAUUAAGUUACUUUAGGGAUAACAGCGUUAUUUUUUUUGAGAGUUCUUAUCGAAAAAAAAGUUUGCGACCUCGAUGUUGAAUUAAAAUGCCUAUACAAUUGCAGAAGUUGUAAUAGUGGGUCUGUUCGACCUUUAAAAUUUUACGUGAUUUGAGUUCAGACCGGCGUGAG
rnacentral:rRNA from 1 species